AAACACUAAUCAAGCUUCUUCGUGCUUCUCAAAGCCUUGAUGGUCUAGCUGAAGUCCAUAUGAGUCUUUGUCUGUGUAUCUUCUAACAAGGAAACACUACUUAGGGUUUUAGGAUAAGGUUGCGGUUUAAGUUCUUAUACUCACUCAUACACAUGACAUCAAGUCAUAUUCGACUCCAAAACACUAACCAAGCUUCUUCUUGCUUCUCAAAGCUUUGAUGGAUAAGCGGAAGUCCAUAUGAGUCUUUGUCUUUGUAUCUUCUAACAAGGAAACACUACUUAGGCUCUUAGGAUAAGAUUGCGGUUUAAGUUCUUAUACUCAAUCAUACACAUGACAUCAAGUUAUAUUCGACUCCAAAACACUAACCAAGCUUCUUCUUGCUUCUCAAAGCUUUGAUGGUUUAGCCAAAGUCCAUAUGAGUCUUUAUCUUUGUAUCUUCUAACAAGGAAACACUACUUAGGCCUUUAGGAUAAGGUUGCGGUUUAAGUUCUUAUACUCAAUCAUACACAUGACAUCAAGUUAUAUUCGACUCCAAAACACUAACCAAGCUUCUUCUUGCUUCUCAAAGCUUUGAUGGUUUAGCCAAAGUCCAUAUGAGUCUUUAUCUUUGUAUCUUCUAACAAGGAAACACUACUUAGGCCUUUAGGAUAAGGUUGCGGUUUAAGUUCUUAUACUCACUCAUACACAUGACAUCAAGUCAUAUUCGACUCCAAAACACUAACCAAGCUUCUUCUUGCUUCUCAAAGCUUUGAUGGAUAAGCGGAAGUCCAUAUGAGUCUUUGUCUUUGUAUCUUCUAACAAGGAAACACUACUUAGGCUCUUAGGAUAAGAUUGCGGUUUAAGUUCUUAUACUCAAUCAUACACAUGACAUCAAGUUAUAUUCGACUCCAAAACAAUAACCAAGCUUCUUCUUGCUUCUCAAAGCUUUGAUGGUUUAGCCAAAGUCCAUAUGAGUCUUUAUCUUUGUAUCUUCUAACAAGGAAACACUACUUAGGCCUUUAGGAUAAGGUUGUGGUUUAAGUUAUUAUACUCAAUCAUACACAUGACAUCAAGUCAUAUUUGACUCCAAAACAAUAACCAAGCUUCUUCUUGCUUCUCAAAGCUUUGAUGGUUUAGCCGAAGUCCAUAUGAGUCUUUGUCUUUGUAUCUUCUAACAAGGAAACACCACUUAGGCCUUUAGGAUAUGGUUGUUGUUUAAGUUCUUAUACUCAAUCAUACACAUGACAUCAAGUCAUAUUCGACUCCAAAACACUAAUCAAGCUUCUUCGUGCUUCUCAAAGCUUUGAUGGUCUAGCCGAAGUCCAUAUGAGUCUUUGUCUUUGUAUCUUCUAACAAGGAAACACUACUUAGGGUUUUAGGAUAAGGUUGCGGUUUAAGUUCUUAUACUCACUCAUACACAUGACAUCAAGUCAUAUUCGACUCCAAAACACUAACCAAGCUUCUUCCUGCUUCUCAAAGCUUUGAUGGAUAAGCGGAAGUCCAUAUGAGUCUUUGUCUUUGUAUCUUCUAACAAGGAAACACUACUUAGGCUCUUAGGUUAAGAUUGCGGUUUAAGUUCUUAUACUCAAUCAUACACAUGACAUCAAGUUAUAUUCGACUCCAAAACACUAACCAAGCUUCUUCUUGCUUCUCAAAGCUUUGAUGGUUUAGCCAAAGUCCAUAUGAGUCGUUGUGUUUGUAUCUUCUAACAAGGAAACACUACUUAGGCUUUCAGGAUAAGAUUGUUGUUUAAGUUCUUAUACGCAAUCAUACACAUGACAUAAAGUCAUAUUCGACUCCAAAACACUAAUCAAGCUUCUUCUUGCUUCUCAAAGCUUUGUUAGUUUAGCCGAAGUCCAUAUGAGUAUUUAUCUUUGUAUCUUCUAACAAGGAAACACCACUUAGGCCUUUAGGAUAAGGUUGCGGUUUAAGUUCUUAUACUCCAUCAUACACAUGACAUCAAGUCAUAUUCGACUCCAAAACACUAACCAAGCUUCUUCUUGCUUCUCAAAGCUUUGUUGGUUUAGCCGAAGUCCAUAUGAGUCUUUAUCUUUGUAUCUUCUAACAAGGAAACACUACUUAGGCUUUUAGGAUAAGGUUGCGGUUUAAGUUCUUAUACUCACUCAUACACAUGACAUCAAGUCAUAUUCGACUCCAAAACACUAACCAAGCUUCUUCUUGCUUCUCAAAGCUUUGAUGGAUAAGCGGAAGUCCAUAUGAGUCUUUGUCUUUGUAUCUUCUAACAAGGAAACACUACUUAGGCUCUUAGGAUAAGAUUGCGGUUUAAGUUCUUAUACUCAAUCAUACACAUGACAUCAAGUUAUAUUCGACUCCAAAACACUAACCAAGCUUCUUCUUGCUUCUCUAAGCUUUGAUGGUUUAGCCAAAGUCCAUAUGAGUCUUUAUCUUUGUAUCUUCUAACAAGGAAACACUACUUAGGCCUUUAGGAUAAGGUUGCGGUUUAAGUUCUUAUACUCAAUCAUACACAUGACAUCAAUUUAUAUUCGACUCCAAAACACAAACCAAGCUUCUUCUUGCUUCUCAAAGCUUUAAUGGUUUAGCCGAAGUCCAUGUGAGUCUUUGUGUUUGUAUCUUCUAACAAGGAAACACUACUUAGGCUUUUAGGAUAAGAUUGCGGUUUAAGUUCAUAUACUCAAUCAUACACAUGACAUCAAGUCAUAUUCGACUCCAAAACACUAACCAAACUUUUUCUUGCUUUUCAAAGCUUUGAUGGUUUAGCAAAAUUCCAUAUGAGUCUUUAUCUUUGUAUCUUCUAACAAGGAAACACUACUUAGGCUUUUAGGAUAAGGUUGCGGGUUAAGUUCUUAUACUCAAUCAUACACAUGAUAUCAAGUCAUAUUCGACUCCAAAACACUAACCAAGCUUCUUCUUGCUUCUUAAAAGCUUUGAAGUCCAUAUGAGUCUUUGUCCAUAUGAAGUCC
rnacentral:sRNA from 1 species